AGCAACAUCACUUGGCAGCAGUGCCAGAAGCUCUUUCAGUAAAGAAUCCACUCAGGCUGCAUAAUGAAGAAGGGAUGUUCUGGCUUGAUUGCCUGCAGGACCACUGCAGUAUCAGGUCUGUAACACUGCCAUGGAAGAGUGCUGGACCUCUCAGCCAGGCAUGACAAUCUUGAACCAAGAGAACAAGCCCACACCUAGUCAGAAAUCUGAUUGCUGUAUGAGAGGAGCUCAGAUGCAUUUAUACAUGUCUACAAAAGCAGUUUGGAGCUUGUGUAGCAGUCAGUGAGAAGACAAUGGAUGUUGAUUUCUACAGAAAGAAAAAUAUGCUUCUAUUAAAUAUAUGUCAUCUGAUCAAAAUUUGAGACAAGACGAAGCAAUCUAAGAGCAGGAAAGUUGACUAAUCUAUUUCAGACUUUUUGACAUGGGUUUUUUUUAAUAUACUCAUUUUUAUUUCAAUUUUCAUAAGUGUGAUUAGAGAGAAGAUGUAUUUUGCCCUUUUAUUUUGAAAAAUGUGUCCACAUAAGUGAAUGAUUAAAAUAGUCAUGCUAUUUUAAGACUAUUAUUUUUUUAGAAAAUGAGGAACGUGUCAAUGUGUGUGCAUCUAUGUGCAUGCUCAUGGUUUCACACAGACAUCUGUACAGAAAAAAGGGAAUGUAUGCAAGCAGUGAAAAUUUUUAGAAGGAUUUAUGCUUUGUCCUAUUGUACUCCAACAAUUUUGUGGGAAUCUUGUUCUCAGCAGGAGUCAGCAAUUAUCUCUCAUUUAUCUGUUAGAUAUUGAAAGAAACUACUGCCUUUCCUUGUCUUGUGCUUGACUCA